UACAGAGGUGGCAAGCGUUGUUCGGAAUUACUGGGCGUAAAGGGCCCGUAGGCGGUCUUGUCAGUCCCUUGUGAAAUCCCCCGGCUCAACUGGGGAACUGCACGGGAAACAGCAGGGCUUGAGUUCGGGAGAGGGAAGCGGAAUUCCGGGUGUAGCGGUGAAAUGCGUAGAUAUCCGGAGGAACACCGGUGGCGAAGGCGGCUUCCUGGACCGAUACUGACGCUGAGGCGCGAAAGCUAGGGGAGCAAACGGG
rnacentral:rRNA from 1 species